CUCUUAAAACUUUUAGACUUGAUCUUCUAAACAUUGUUUUGAGGCAACACAUGAAGAGUGAGAUCUAUUUCCAAAUAUCACAACUACAGGUAUUCUCUUCCUUGGACCCAUCAGACCAUAGUGUAGACUUUACACAUUUUUCAGUUUGUCUGUCCAUUUUGGUUAUUGAUCAAUACGUCAAAGUCCAAAAAAAAAUCCUUUGAAAAGAUCCUUGUUCACUUUUCACUGGCCAAUAUCAGCUUUUCAGCAAUUGAGCUUCACGGGCAAGACUCGACAGAAGGAAAACGAAUACCAGCUUCGUCUUUCGGUUU